AAGUCGUAACAAGGUUUCCGUAGGUGAACCUGCGGAAGGAUCAUUACCAAUCUCUCUCUCUUUAGAGAACCAUUGUGAACUGUUGCGCUUCGUUGCGCUGCCCUACUAUUAACUAUACCUUGACUAACCACAUAACAUCUAAAUAUUAAACAACUUUUAACAAUGGAUCUCUUGGCUCUU
rnacentral:misc_RNA from 1 species